rnacentral:rRNA from 1 species
UGGGGAAUAUUGGACAAUGGGCGAAAGCCUGAUCCAGCCAUGCCGCGUGUGUGAAGAAGGUCUUCGGAUUGUAAAGCACUUUAAGUUGGGAGGAAGGGCAGUAAGCGAAUACCUUGCUGUUUUGACGUUACCGACAGAAUAAGCACCGGCUAACUCUGUGCCAGCAGCCGCGGUAAUACAGAGGGUGCAAGCGUUAAUCGGAAUUACUGGGCGUAAAGCGCGCGUAGGUGGUUCGUUAAGUUGAAUGUUAAAGCCCCGGGCUCAACCUGGGAACUGCAUCCAAAACUGGCGAGCUAGAGUAGGGCAGAGGGUGGUGGAAUUUCCUGUGUAGCGGUGAAAUGCGUAGAUAUAGGAAGGAACACCAGUGGCGAAGGCGACCACCUGGGCUCAUACUGCCACUGAGGUGCGAAAGCGUGGGGAGCAAACAGG